ACGACCACAUUGCAUUGAAACAUUAGUUCCCAUAUGAUUGCCAAAGUUAAGCAAUGUUGAGACUAGUCAGUAGCUAGAUGGGUGACUGCUUGGGAAUACCAUGUACUGUAAG